rnacentral:rRNA from 1 species
ACUGCGAGUGNGAGGGAAANGNCUCAAAUUUUNAANUCUGUUAGGUUUACCUAACCGAGUUGUNAUUUGAAGAAGCGUUUUCUGCGAUUUUGGUUAGUCCAAAUCCUUUGGAAUAAGGUAUCAUGGAGGGUGAGAAUCCCGUUCGGUUAACCAAAGCGCUUUACGAUACGCUUUCAAAGAGUCAAGUUGUUUGGGAUUGCAGCUUAAAAUGGGAGGUAAAUUUCUCCUAAGGCUAAAUAUUGGCGAGAGACCGAUAGCGAACAAGUACCGUGAGGGAAAGAUGAAAAGAACUUUGAAAAGAGAGUUAAACAGUACGUGAAAUUGUUGAAAGGGAAACGAUUAAAGUCAGUCGUACCUACGAGUAAUCAACCUACUCGAGUGUGAUUUUGUGGGUAUGUUAGAGUUUAAACCUUCAUGCUUACAAAUUGGUGCUCUUUGGGCGUACUUUCUCGUAUGGUUUGUUAACAUCAAUUUCGAUCGUUAUAAAAUGACUGGAGGAAUGUAGCUUCGAUUUCGGUUGAAGUGUUAUAGCCUUUGGUAGAUGUAAUGAUUGGGAUUGAGGAUUGCAACGGAUACCCUCUGGGCUAUUCGUCUGAUCUCUGGAAGUUACCUUGGUCNNNNNGGCGUGCUUACGAUAUUAAGGUUGACGGCCAAUAGGUUAGAACGUGAUAAAUC